CCGCGGUAAUACGGAGGGUGCAAGCGUUAAUCGGAAUUACUGGGCGUAAAGCGCACGCAGGCGGUCUGUCAAGUCGGAUGUGAAAUCCCCGGGCUCAACCUGGGAACUGCAUUCGAAACUGGCAGGCUUGAGUCUUGUAGAGGGGGGUAGAAUUCCAGGUGUAGCGGUGAAAUGCGUAGAGAUCUGGAGGAAUACCGGUGGCGAAGGCGGCCCCCUGGACAAAGACUGACGCUCAGGUGCGAAAGCGUGGGGAGCAAACAGGAUUAGAUACCCUGGUAGUCCACGCCGUAAACGAUGUCUACUUGGAGGUUGUGCCCUUGAGGCGUGGCUUCCGGAGCUAACGCGUUAAGUAGACCGCCUGGGGAGUACGGCCGCAAGGUUAAAACUCAAAUGAAUUGACGGGGGCCCGCACAAGCGGUGGAGCAUGUGGUUUAAUUCGAUGCAACGCGAAGAACCUUACCUGGUCUUGACAUCCACAGAAGAAUCCAGAGAUGGAUUUGUGCCUUCGGGAACUGUGAGACAGGUGCUGCAUGGCUGUCGUCAGCUCGUGUUGUGAAAUGUUGGGUUAAGUCCCGCAACGAGCGCAACCCUUAUCCUUUGUUGCCAGCGGUUAGGCCGGGAACUCAAAGGAGACUGCCAGUGAUAAACUGGAGGAAGGUGGGGAUGACGUCAAGUCAUCAUGGCCCUUACGACCAGGGCUACACACGUGCUACAAUGGCGCAUACAAAGAGAAGCGACCUCGCGAGAGCAAGCGGACCUCAUAAAGUGCGUCGUAGUCCGGAUUGGAGUCUGCAACUCGACUCCAUGAAGUCGGAAUCGCUAGUAAUCGUGGAUCAGAAUGCCACGGUGAAUACGUUCCCGGGCCUUGUACACACCGCCCGUCACACCAUGGGAGUGGGUUGCAAAAGAAGUAGGUAGCUUAACCUUCGGGAGGGCGCUUACCACUUUGUGAUUCAUGACUGGGGUGAAGUCGUAACAAGGUAACCGUAGGGGAACCUGCGGUUGGAUCACCUCCUUACCUUAAAGAA
rnacentral:rRNA from 1 species